GGCCUGGUGGUGUAUUCAUAACACGUCUUCUUAUCAUAAUUGUUUCUCAGCGGCAAAAAAUUGAGGAGAUGAACCCCGUUCGAUUCGGGGCUGGGUCA